CUUGCAGUUGAGGAUACGAUCCCUCAGCUUCCUGCCCUGACUGCCAUGCCUGCCUCUUGCUGCCACGAAACUUCCUACCAUGAUGGGCUGAGAACUGAGCCAACGUGAACUUCUUCUCCCCGGAGUCACCUUGCUCACGAGUGUGGGUGAGGAGUUACCAGUGGGGACAUGGAGGGACCUAGAGCAAACACUUUGGAACAUGAGCACCCAGUAUGGAUGCGGCUCUCUCAGGCUGUGAAGAUGGAGGGCCUCUCAACUAACCCCCUCCGGCUACAUACUCUAGCCCUGUGCUGAGAUUCCAGGCUGCGUGCAGUGAGCUCAAAAGCAAAUUUAACAGCUACCCUGGCAAGCCAUCCCACUGUUUCCGGCUGAGAUGCCCCCUCCCCCGAAAUAACGCUUGCAAUACUUGUCUGUAACAUCAUCCCAUCGGUCUAUUCGGC